AGGGAAUCUUCCGCAAUGGACGCAAGUCUGACGGAGCAACGCCGCGUGAGCGAAGAAGGCCUUCGGGUCGUAAAGCUCUGUUGUCAGGGAAGAACAAGUACCGGAGUAACUGCCGGUACCUUGACGGUACCUGACCAGAAAGCCCCGGCUAACUACGUGCCAGCAGCCGCGGUAAUACGUAGGGGGCGAGCGUUGUCCGGAAUCAUUGGGCGUAAAGCGCGCGCAGGCGGUCCCUUAAGUCUGAUGUGAAAUCUUGCGGCUCAACCGCAAGGGGUCAUUGGAAACUGGGGGACUUGAGUGCAGGAGAGGGAAGCGGAAUUCCAUGUGUAGCGGUGAAAUGCGUAGAGAUAUGGAGGAACACCAGUGGCGAAGGCGGUUUCCUGGCCUGUAACUGACGCUCAGGCGCGAAAGCGUGGGGAGCAAAC
rnacentral:rRNA from 1 species